AUGGGUUCAGGUCUCUUCAAGCCUCGUGUUCAUCCGGACCUCCGUGAUGUUUUCUCUAAGAUGUCUUUCGGUGACAAGAUUGGCUUUCUAUUCAUUCAUGCAUUUGACAAGAGAAACUUGUGGCACAAGAUGCCUGUUCCGAUCGGUUUACUCUACCUGAACACCCGCCGGACCCUCCUCGAAAAAUACAACAUGUUAGCUGUUGGGAGUUCUCAUGGUGCUCUGUUUGACCCCAAGGAGUUCCCGUACCGCACCGGAGAUGGCAAGUACAACGACCCCCAUAAUGCUAAGGCUGGUAGCCAAUACACCUUUUUUGGGAGAAACAUGAAGCCAGUUGAUCAACAGGAUGAGUUGAUGAGCCCAGAUCCAUUUGUUGUGGCAACAAAGCUGUUAGCCAGGAGAGAAUACAAGGACACAGGGAAACAGUUCAAUAUACUAGCAGCUGCAUGGAUACAGUUCAUGGUUCAUGACUGGAUGGAUCAUAUGGAGGAUACCAAACAGAUUGAAAUCACAGCUCCAAAAUAUGUGGCCAAUGAGUGCCCCCUCAAAUCGUUCAAGUUCUAUGCCACAAAAGAACAACCUACGAAUUCUGAUGGAAUAAAGAGUGGUUACUACAAUGUCCGCACAGCUUGGUGGGAUGGGAGUGCAGUAUAUGGUAAUAAUGAGAAAGAGGCAAAAAAGAUCAGGACUUAUGUUGAUGGAAAACUAGUCAUAGGAGAUGACGGUCUUCUUUUGCAUGAGGAGAAUGGUGUGCCAUUAUCGGGCGACGUUCGCAACGGUUGGGUUGGGGUUUCGAUCUUACAAGCUCUUUUUGUUAAGGAACACAAUGCAGUUUGUGAUGCAAUAAAGGAAGAACAGCCCAUCCUAUCAGAUGAAGAAUUAUAUCGGUAUGCCAAAUUGGUCACUUCUGCUGUCAUUGCAAAGAUUCACACUAUUGAUUGGACUGUCGAGCUUCUCAAGACUAAAACCAUGAGAGCUGCAAUGCGUGCAAAUUGGUAUGGAUUAUUGGGUAAGAAAAUAAAAGAUACAUUUGGUCACAUAGGAGGAACGGCAUUAGGUGGGCUUGUGGGAUUGAAGGAGCCGAUCAACCAUGGCGUACCUUAUUCAUUGACUGAAGAGUUUACCAGUGUUUACAGAAUGCAUUCCUUAAUACCAAGCACUCUCAAGCUCAGGAUCCGACCGGGCAACCCGCUGCAAAUAAUUCCCCACCGUACCUGGAAGAUAUACCGAGACAGGGAGAGAAGUGUACCGAGGUACAAUGAGUUCAGGAGGAGACUAUUUCUGAUUCCAAUAAAAAGUUGGGAGGAUCUGACAAGUGACAAGGAUGCAAUUGAAGACAUAAGAGCAAUAUAUGGAGAUGAUGUAGAGAAAUUGGAUCUUCUUGUUGGUCUUAUGGCAGAGAAAAAAAUCAAGGGAUUUGCCAUAAGCGAAACAGCAUUCAACAUUUUCAUUUUAAUGGCAUCAAGGAGGCUCGAAGCAGAUCGAUUUAUUACAAGCAAUUUCAAUGAGAAAACAUACACCAAGAAGGGGAUGCAAUGGGUCAAAACAACUGAAGGCCUACGAGAUGUGAUCAACCGGCACUACCCUGAAAUUACUGCCAAGUGGAUGAAGUCCUCUAGUGCUUUCUCUGUGUGGGAUGCAGACUACUAG
rnacentral:rRNA from 1 species